UGGGGAAUCUUGCACAAUGGAGGAAACUCUGAUGCAGCGACGCCGCGUGAGCGAAACAGCCUUUCGGGGUGUAAAGCUCUUACGCCAGGGACGAUAAUGACGGUACCUGGAGAAGCAGCUGCGGCUAACUACGUGCCAGCAGCCGCGGUAAUACGUAGGCAGCAAGCGUUUUUCGGAAUUACUGGGCGUAAAGGGUGCGUAGGCGGCGCUCUAAGUUUGGUGGGAAAUCUCCCGGCUUAACUGGGAGGGUGCACUGAAAACUGGGGCGCUCGAGUAUGGGAGAGGAAAGCGGAAUUCCUGGGGUAGCGGUGAAAUGCGUAGAGAUCAGGAGUAACACCUGCGGUGCAGACGGCUUUCUGGACCAUCACUGACGCUGAGGCACGAAAGCGUGGGUAGCAAACA
rnacentral:rRNA from 1 species